CCCUUAGAUGUUCUGGGCUGCACGCGCGCUACAAUGGUCUUCGCAAACGGAUGCAUUCUCGAAGGAGAAUGCCAAUCUUGGAAUCUAUGCCUUGGUCGGGACAGUUGCUUGCAAUUUUUCGACUCGAACCAGGAAUUCCUUGUAAUCGUGAUUCAUCACAUCACGAUGAAUACGUCCCUGCCCUUUGUACACACCGCCCGUCGCUCCUACCGAUCGAAGAGUUAGGUGAAUUGUUUUGAUCGAUAAGAUUUGACUAUGGUCAACUCUCGUUGUGAAAUUCUGUGAAUCUGACUGUUUAGAGGAAGGAAAAGUCGUAACA
rnacentral:rRNA from 1 species